rnacentral:lncRNA from 1 species
AUUCAAAUACAUUUACACAGAGGCCCAGGCACAGACAAGGAUGAAAUAGGAGCCAAGGUAUGCUAUGAGCCAAGGAUUAUGAGUAAUCCAGUUUUGUGCACUUUAAGCCAUUUGAAAAACAGAAAAGCAAAACAACAAAAUAAUUUUUAAGAAAUUGAAUAUAGGGUGUUAUGCUCUGAAUGUGUCCCCCUAAAAUUAAUCACCAAUGUCAUAAGAUUAGGAAGUAGGGCUUUAAGGUAGUGAUUCAGUCAUGAAGGGAGAGUGUUCACGAAUGAGUUUAGGAUCCUUACACAAGGACUGGAUGGAGUGGGCUUCCCCUGUUUUGCCCUUCCACCUUCUGCCAUGUGAGGACACAGUGCAUCUCCUCCUGAAGACACAGUGCACAAGAUACCAUCUUGGAUGCAGAGACCAGACCCUCACCAGACACCAAUCCUGCUGGCACCUUGAUCUUGGACUUCUAGCCUAUGGAACUGUAAGAUUGGGGAAGAUGCCAGGUGAUAGAAUCCACCCUGCCUCUGACAGCAUCCAAUCUGGAGCAAAGGCUUAUUUCAACCCUCCCCCAAGCUCCCAAUACAAGCCCAAAUUCUGGAACAGGUCCUUUCCAACACCUCCUUCAGAGAAGCUCCCUGGCUCCAGGCAGUGCUUGCUCCCCUCACUGCAGCAGGAAGCCUAACUUGCGAACUGCAGGUGUGCUCCAGGUGGUCACUGGAUGCAAGGCAUUGACAGAUGGAUCCCAUCGAUACCCCCACUGCAAAACCAUAGUGCAGUGAAUAGAAGACACUUCUCUGCACCCCAAAAGCUCCAUGCUGAUUGUGAGAAGGAAAUGCUGGAUGGAGGGGUUCCUGGAACUACUGUGAGGGUUUCUUUUGAUUUCUCCUGCUUAGAAAUGGUGAGAGAACUUUGGAUGUGGAACGUGGAGGAGGAGGAACACGAAGUGGGGAUCUCCACUUGGGGUGGUCAGCACUGCGGGUGCCCAGCAAAGUCACUGCCUGGUCCACAUCCCGGAGGGGUCUCUGCGCCUCAGUCGGCAUCGCAGCUGAUGGUGAAACUUUUGGUGUGGCAGAAGAGUGUCCACAAACUUCGGAAGAUCGCUGCUCAGAGUGAGGAAUGGAGUUGUGUUUUGAAUAAAAUAUCCACGCAUCCUUUUGUGAGCAAGGAGCAUGAUGGUACUUAGACCUACCAUUUCUCGUUAUGGUGGUUGCGGUUACAGUGGGGCUGGGGUGUUUACCUGGAGCCUGGACAUCCACUGGGACAUGAUACCCACUGGGAAUUUUUUGUGUCAAUCUGGUCUCUGAUGUCCACCUGGGGAUUGGGUAUCCACCUAAGGCCUGAUGUUUACCUGGAGCCAGAUGUGCACCUGAGACCUGAUGUCUAUCUGUGGCCUUAUGUUCCCCUGGGGACCGAUGCACACCUGAAGGAUAGGUAUUCAUCUGGGGCCUGAUACCCACCAGUAGUAUGGGUGUCAACCUUGGGGCUAGUGUUCAGCUGGCGUCCACUGUCUACUUGGGGCCUGGUGUACACAUGGGGCCUGGGCAUCCACCUGAGACUUGAUGUUUAAUAUGGUCUGGAGUUCUUUUGGGGCCUGUUGUACCCUGGAGCCUGGGUGUACACCUGGAGCCUGAUGUCCCAGGUGAACAACUGGGUCCCAGGUGAUCUUCAGGCCCUAGGUGAAAACUCCAGGCUCUAAGUGGACAACCAGGCUCCAGGCUGAUGUUUACUGGGGCCAGAUGUCUACCAGGCCCCAGGUGAAAUCCCCAGGCUCCAAAUGGACAACAUAGCCCCAGGUUCCAGGUAGACAUUGGAAUCCAAAUCAACACCAGGCCCCAGAUGGACACCCAGGCCUGUGGUGGACAUCAGACUGCAGAAGGUCAUCUGGCUCGAGGUGGACAUCAAGCCCCAGGUGGAUACCUAGUCCCCAGGUGGAUAUCAGGCCCCACUUUGACACCAGUCCCUGGGUAGAUACCUUGGCCUCAGGUGGAUAUCCAGUCUCUAGCUAAGCAUCAGGCUCCAGGGGGACCCAGGCCCUAGCUGACUGGGGACUAGUGUUCAUAUGGGGCCACAUGUCCAUCUGGGCCCUAGGUGUCAACUUGUAGCCUGAUGUCAACCUGGAAGCUGGUGUUCACCAGAGAGGACUAAAGUCCUCCUGGUGCCUGGUGUCCAACUUGGGACUUUGUGUCCACCUGGAGACCGAUGUCCACUUGGGACCAGAUGUCCAGCUGGAGCAAGAUGUCCACCUGCAGCCUAAAACUUCACCUAAGGCCUGAUGUUCCCCAGGGCCUACAGAGCCUAUGUAUCUACCUAGGGACUUGUGUCCAGGUGGGGCCUGAAUUCCACCUGGGGCCUGGAAUUAACCUGGGACCUGAUGUCCACCUGAGACGUGGGUGUUCCUCUGGAGUCUGAUAUCUAUCUGGGGCCCGGGUGUCCUCCUGUGGUCUGAUGUCCACUUGUAGGCUGGUGUCCACCUGGGGCCUGGGUGUCCACCUAGGAACCUGAUGUAUACCUGAAGUCCAGUGUCUACGUGGGUACUGAUGUCUACCAGGAAAGUGAUAUAAACCUGGGGCCUGAUAGCCACCUGGGCCCUGAGUGUCCACAUAUGUUCUGAUUUCUCUUUUGGCCUUAGUGUAGGGCCUGAGUGCCACCUGCUUCCUGAUGUUCACCAGGAACCUAGGUAUUCACUUGGGGCUUGCUGUUCACCUGGGACCUAAUGUCCAUGUGAGGCCUGGUAUUCAGCUAGAGCCUGGGCAUCCCCCUGUGGCCUGAAGUUCAGUUGCUGACUAGGAAUUCCACUAAAGCUUGAUGUCCACCUGGGGCAUAGGUAACCACUUGUGGCCUAGUGUUGCCCUGAAGCCUAGGUGUCAACCCAGGGCAUAAUGUCCCCUUGGGGCCUGCUGUCCACCUGCAGACUGGUGUCUACAUAGGGCCUGGUAUCCACCUGGGGUCUGGUGUCUGCCUGGGGCCUAGUGUCCACCUGAAGACUGAGUAUAGACCUCAGAUCUGAUGUAUGCCUGGGGCCUAUUUAUCCACCUGGGGACUAGCAUUCAUCUGGGGCCUCAUGUCCACUUAAGCCCUGGGUGUCAACCUGGUGCCUAAUGGCCACCAGGGAUCUAUGUACUCACUUGGGGCCUGGUGCUCCCACAGGGCCUAGGUAUAAACCUGGAGAAUGAUGUGCAGGUGGAGGUGGAUGUCUUCCUGGGUGCUGGUGUUCACCUGGGGACAAGGGUCUCCCUGGGGACCAGUGUUUAUCGGGAGCCUCAUAUGCACCUUGAACCUGCUGUCUACCUAGGGCCCGAUGUCCAUGUUAAGGCUGGGUGUCCACCUGGGACCUGGUUGUCCACUUGGGGCCUAAUGUCCACCUAAGACCUAGUGUUCACCUAGGGCCUGGGUGUCCACCUGGAGCCUGAUGUUCAGCUGGAGAUGCAUCCAUCCGAAACCUAGGUAUCCACCCAGGUUCUGGUGUCGACCUGGGGUCUUAUGUCCACCUGGGGACUAGAUAUCUACCUGAGGCUUGAUGUCCACCUGGAGCCCGAUAUCCACCUCAGAGCUGGGUGUCCACCCAAGUUCUGGUAUCCACCCGGAGCCUGGUGUUCAUCUGGGGCCCAGUGCCCACCUGGAACCUGGGUAUCACCAUGGGGCCUGGGUGUCCACUUGGAACGUGAUGUGCACCUGGGACCUGAGUUUCCACCUAGGGCCUGAUGACCACCGGAGACCCAGGUGUCCACCUGGGGUCUGAUGUCUACCUGAAGCCUAGGUAACCACCUGUGCCUUGGUGUUACCUGUGCCUUGAUUUCCACCUGAGCCUGAUGUACACCUGGGGCCUGGGUGUCCAUCUGAGGCCUGAUGUACACCUCAAGUCCAGUGUCCACUUGUGGCCUGAUGUCAACUUGGAAGCUGAUAUCCACCUGGGGACUGAUGUUCUCCUGGGGUCUGAUAUCCAACUGGGAUCAGAUGUUCACCUAAGGCCUGGAGUUAAUCUGGGGCCUGAUGGUCACCAGGGACCCAGGUGUCCACCUAGGGCCUAGUGACCAACUAGGGCCUGAUGUCCACCUGGAGUCUAGUAUCCGCCUUGGCCCUGAUGCUACUUGAGGCCUGGGUGUCUUCCUAGAACCUGAGUCCCCAACUGGGCCCUGAUGUCCACCUGAGGCCUGGUGUCCUUGUAGGGCCUGAUAUCUACCUAAGGCCUGGGUAUCCUCCUGCAGCCUGAUGCUCACCUGUAGGCUGGUGUCCAUAUGGGGCCUGGGUGUUCACCUGUGAGCCUGAUGUACACCUGGAGUCCGGUGUCCCCUUGGUUACUAAUACGUACCAGGAAAAUGGUAUAUACCUGGGGCCUGAUAUACACCUGGAGCCUGUGUGUCCACUUGAGCCCUGAUGUCCACCUGGGGCCUGGUGUUUACCUGGGGCCUCUAUCCACCCACUACCGAAAGUCAAGUUAGGAAAAGGGCCCAGGAUAGGUGAGGAGCACAGAACAGGGACCUCAUUCAUAAGAAAUUCUGCUGUAGAAUGUGUGCUCUAAGCUCUUAAAACAGCUCUGCCUCAGGAAAGACUGUCCAGGGCAUAGGAAGCCCACACACAGGGUGGGAUGACAAGUUUGCAUCUGGCACGGCUGGGAGCCCUGGGGGCCUCUGCCCUUUUGGCCGCGUUGUCUCCUGGCUUUUAGGGUGGUGGGAUUCUCGGCUCUGAUUGCAGCAGGUGGAUUCACUUAGCUCUCCUCCCCUUUUAGCAUUACUGUCUUCUGUAAUAAACCUCUCACUUUGAUCUGCCAGGCUGUCAAAUGCUUUGAUUGCCCUCUCUGUUUUGUUCCAAUGGUUCAUCAAUCCAAAUAUCCACAACACAAGGACAGAUUUUAGUCUCUUCAUACAGUGGGAUAUUUCACAGCUAUUAAAACAAAUCAAAUAAAUGCUUGUGUAUUGAUAUGCAAAGUUGUCCUGCAUCAAUAACUUUUAAACACAUUUUAUGAUCCCACAUCUAUAUCUAUACAUAAUGUUUGCCACUGCUUAAACAAAACAAAAUCUAAGCUUUAGACUCCAAAUGGAAUUACAGGGGAAUCUUGAUGUCUGUGUUCUGCAGUUCUGUCAUGUUUGAAAUUGUCAAAUAAACAUGGUGCCUUUCCAGUA